rfam:Nicotiana attenuata strain TT chromosome 10, whole genome shotgun sequence.
GAAAGCCGUAUGCUUUGGAAGAAGCUUGUACAGUUUGGGAAGGGUUUUGAUUGAUCAAAGAAGAAUCUACUUCAAC